ACGACCUUACUUGAACAGGAUCUGUUCUAUAGUGUCGUACCUCUGUAUCCUUUAGCACAAAGGAGACAGGUUCACAAGUCUGGUUGACGAAUUAUGGCCUUGUGAUCAGAGCGUGAUUAACAGCCUUCCUGGUCCUUUCCCGGACCCAGACAGCAGUAGAGGAUCGUUCUCAGCUAGUGCUCUGGCUGGGAUGGUCACAAGGUUGUCCGACAGACU
rnacentral:snoRNA from 1 species